rnacentral:tRNA from 1 species
AAAAUCCGUCGACUCUAUAAAUCGUGAGGGUUCAAGUCCCUCUAUCCCCA